rnacentral:rRNA from 1 species
GCAAGUCGAGCGGUAGCACAGAGAGCUUGCUCUCGGGUGACGAGCGGCGGACGGGUGAGUAAUGUCUGGGAAACUGCCUGAUGGAGGGGGAUAACUACUGGAAACGGUAGCUAAUACCGCAUAAUGUCGCAAGACCAAAGUGGGGGACCUUCGGGCCUCAUGCCAUCAGAUGUGCCCAGAUGGGAUUAGCUAGUAGGUGGGGUAACGGCUCACCUAGGCGACGAUCCCUAGCUGGUCUGAGAGGAUGACCAGCCACACUGGAACUGAGACACGGUCCAGACUCCUACGGGAGGCAGCAGUGGGGAAUAUUGCACAAUGGGCGCAAGCCUGAUGCAGCCAUGCCGCGUGUAUGAAGAAGGCCUUCGGGUUGUAAAGUACUUUCAGCGGGGAGGAAGGCGAUAAGGUUAAUAACCUUGUCGAUUGACGUUACCCGCAGAAGAAGCACCGGCUAACUCCGUGCCAGCAGCCGCGGUAAUACGGAGGGUGCAAGCGUUAAUCGGAAUUACUGGGCGUAAAGCGCACGCAGGCGGUCUGUCAAGUCGGAUGUGAAAUCCCCGGGCUCAACCUGGGAACUGCAUUCGAAACUGGCAGGCUAGAGUCUUGUAGAGGGGGGUAGAAUUCCAGGUGUAGCGGUGAAAUGCGUAGAGAUCUGGAGGAAUACCGGUGGCGAAGGCGGCCCCCUGGACAAAGACUGACGCUCAGGUGCGAAAGCGUGGGGAGCAAACAGGAUUAGAUACCCUGGUAGUCCACGCCGUAAACGAUGUCGAUUUGGAGGUUGUGCCCUUGAGGCGUGGCUUCCGGAGCUAACGCGUUAAAUCGACCGCCUGGGGAGUACGGCCGCAAGGUUAAAACUCAAAUGAAUUGACGGGGGCCCGCACAAGCGGUGGAGCAUGUGGUUUAAUUCGAUGCAACGCGAAGAACCUUACCUGGUCUUGACAUCCACAGAACUUACCAGAGAUGGUUUGGUGCCUUCGGGAACUGUGAGACAGGUGCUGCAUGGCUGUCGUCAGCUCGUGUUGUGAAAUGUUGGGUUAAGUCCCGCAACGAGCGCAACCCUUAUCCUUUGUUGCCAGCGGUUAGGCCGGGAACUCAAAGGAGACUGCCAGUGAUAAACUGGAGGAAGGUGGGGAUGACGUCAAGUCAUCAUGGCCCUUACGACCAGGGCUACACACGUGCUACAAUGGCAUAUACAAAGAGAAGCGACCUCGCGAGAGCAAGCGGACCUCAUAAAGUAUGUCGUAGUCCGGAUUGGAGUCUGCAACUCGACUCCAUGAAGUCGGAAUCGCUAGUAAUCGUAGAUCAGAAUGCUACGGUGAAUACGUUCCCGGGCCUUGUACACACCGCCCGUCACACCAUGGGAGUGGGUUGCAAAAGAAGUAGGUAGCUUAACCUUCGGGAGGGCGCUUACCAC